AGGAUUAUAGUUAAUUAUAAUAUUUGAUUUGCAUUCAAAAGGUGCUGAGUAGCUAUUCUUA
rnacentral:tRNA from 1 species